CCUACGGGUGGCAGCAGUGAGGAAUAUUGGUCAAUGGGCGGGAGCCUGAACCAGCCAAGCCGCGUGAGGGAAGAAGGUACUGCGUAUCGUAAACUUCUUUUGUCAGGGAACAAAGGCGGGGACUAGUCCCCGGCUGAGGGUACCUGAAGAAAAAGCAUCGGCUAACUCCGUGCCAGCAGCCGCGGUAAUACGGGGGAUGCGAGCGUUAUCCGGAUUGAUUGGGUUGAAAGGGUGCGCAGGCGGACUGUUAAGUCAGCGGUAAAAGCCCGGGGCUAAACCCGGGAGAGCCGUUGAGACUGGCGGGCUGGAGUGGGAGAGAGGUACGCGGAAUGCGCGGUGUAGCGGUGAAAUGCUUAGAUAUCGCGCAGAACCCCGAUGGCGAAGGCAGCUUACCGGCUCCACACUGACGCUGAGGCACGAAAGCGUGGGUAGCGAACAGGAUUAGAUACCCCUGUAGUC
rnacentral:rRNA from 1 species